GAUGAACGCUAGCUACAGGCUUAACACAUGCAAGUCGAGGGGAAACGGCAUCGAAAGCUUGCUUUUGAUGGGCGUCGACCGGCGCACGGGUGAGUAACGCGUAUCCAACCUGCCCAUCACUUGGGAAUAACCUUGCGAAAGUAAGACUAAUGCCCAAUGACAUCCCACGAAGGCAUCCGAAUGGGAUUAAAGAUUUAUCGGUGAUGGAUGGGGAUGCGUCUGAUUAGCUUGUUGGCGGGGUGACGGCCCACCAAGGCAACGAUCAGUAGGGGUUCUGAGAGGAAGGGCCCCCACAGUGGAACUGAGACACGGUCCAAACUCCUACGGGAGGCAGCAGUGAGGAAGAUUGGUCAAUGGGCGAGAGCCUGAACCAGCCAAGUAGCGUGCAGGAUGACGGCCCUAUGGGUUGUAAACUGCUUUUAUAAGGGAAUAAAGUGGGUCACGUGUGACUUUUUGCAUGUACCUUAUGAAUAAGGACCGGCUAAUUCCGUG
rnacentral:rRNA from 1 species